rnacentral:pre_miRNA from 1 species
UCUUAUGGAUAAGCAAAGAAAUUGGUUUCUUGAGAUAGAAUCUACUUCGGGUGAAGACUCUGUGAA